UACGUAGGGUGCGAGCGUUAAUCGGAAUUACUGGGCGUAAAGCGCACGUAGGCGGGUCGUUAAGUCAGGGGUGAAAUCCUGGAGCUCAACUCCAGAACUGCCCUUGAUACUGGCGAUCUCGAGUUCGGGAGAGGUGAGUGGAACUGCGAGUGUAGAGGUGAAAUUCGUAGAUAUUCGCAAGAACACCAGUGGCGAAGGCGGCUCACUGGCCCGAUACUGACGCUGAGGUGCGAAAGCGUGGGGAGCAAACAGG
rnacentral:rRNA from 1 species